rnacentral:rRNA from 1 species
AAGGGCACCACAAGAACGCGUGGAGCAUGUGGCUUAAUUUGACUCAACGCGGGAAAUCUUACCGGGUCCGGACACACUGAGGAUUGACAGGCAAUAUUAUAUAAUAAUCAGACUCUCGGGUCUGUGUUUUAUAUAUGUUAAAUAUGCUAGUCCUUUCAUGAUUAUGUGAUAGGUGGUGCAUGGCCGUUCUUAGUUCGUGGAGUGAUCUGUCUGCUUAAUUGCGUUUCACUAUUGGGCUUAUAUAAUUACGUAUGCACGCUAACGCUUUGACCCCUUUUCUACGGAAUUGUGCGUGUCUUUGUUUCGUUUAGCUCAUACAAUUAAGCCCUGAAAGCAACGAACGUGACCGCAACCUCUUGUUGCUCUCAAUUUUGAUUCUUGUCUUACGGGACAAAUCAUGCCAACAUUUUCUUGCUUCACUGUGAGAUUUUGUCGGUUAAGAGAGCUUUCUAAACUAGAGGGACCGCUGUUACUUUCUUAAACCAGAGGAAGGUUGCGGCAAUAACAGGUCUGUGAUGCCCUUAGAUGUUCCGGGCUGCACACGUGCUACAAUGAUUAUUGCAGUGAGCAUCUCAUUUUUUACAUACAUCGCAUGCGCGAGUCCAUUUAUUCAACGCCUCGUGUGUUGCUUUAAAUGUGCACCUCUGCGCAGCGAUAAAGCCUACUUCGAAAGUAAGCGGGUAAUCAAUUAGAAGUAAUGAUUUCCUUUUUUUCCUGCACACAUAUAUAUGGCACUUAUACCCGGGUAGCCUUGUUGCUACUUCUGUGCGUAUCAGUGAUAUUUUGUGGAUUUUACUUCACAUUAUAUAUUACCAUAUGUGCAAUUGUCAAUUCAUGGUGGGGACAGACCAUUGUUAAUUGUUGGUCUCGGUCUUAACUAGGAAUGCCUUGUACGGAUCUUUGGUUCAACAAACCAUCCGGAAUACGUCCCUGCCCUUUGUACACACCGCCCGUCGCUCUUACCGAUGGACUUCUCUGUGAGUUUGAGGGACUGGUACAUGACACGCACUCUGUGUGUGUCGACACUAUAGAAACUUAAACGAACAGUGGGGUCUAAAGGAAAGAGAAGUCGUAACAAGGCAUCAGUAGGUGAACCUGCAGAAGGAUCA